AUGACUUAUUUCGACGGUGUAGCGCCUUGAUAAGUAAAUAUUAUGGCAUCCUGGGCAUUACAUUAUUCCAACACCCUCUUCAACACGUAUAUAAGCCUCUUGUACGUAUUCAUCAGGCGCAGCUAGUUUCGUAUGCAGCUCAGGAUUGUCGCUUGCUCCUCGUCGCUGUCACUGUCGACAUCGUUGAUCAUUGCCAAUGGGCCAUGGAAGAGGUGAAGACCACAGGAACAACAAAGGUAAAACCACCAACAGGAACAGCGGCACCAAUUGUCAAUUCUGAUGAUGAUGAUGAUGUUGUUCCUUCGAACAGUCGGUUCUUGCACUGAAAGAAAUAGGUGUGUCGCUUUAAAAAGCUAGCCCGACUUUAGCAUAUACAUAUAAGAAAUACCAAU
ensembl:ncRNA lncRNA:CR43302 long non-coding RNA:CR43302